rnacentral:rRNA from 1 species
AGAGUUUGAUCCUGGCUCAGAAUCAACGCUGGCGGCGUGCCUCAGACAUGCAAGUCGAACGCGAAAAUCCCCUUCGGGGGAUGAGUAGAGUGGCGCACGGGUGAGUAACACGUAGGUAAUCUACCUUCGGGUGGGGAAUAACAGCCGGAAACGGCUGCUAAUACCGCAUAAUGCAGCGGCACCAGAUGGUGAGCAGUUGUUAAAGCGGGGGACCCUUUACGGGGCCUCGCGCCUGAAGAGGAGCCUGCGGCGGAUUAGCUAGUUGGUAGGGUAAUGGCUUACCAAGGCGACGAUCCGUAGCCGGCCUGAGAGGGCGGUCGGCCACACUGACACUUGAAUACGGGUCAGACUCCUACGGGAGGCAGCAGUCGGGAAUUUUGGGCAAUGGGCGCAAGCCUGACCCAGCAACGCCGCGUGAAGGAUGAAGUCCCUCGGGAUGUAAACUUCACAAGAACGGGAAGAAUAAGGCCGGGCUAAUACCCCUGCCGAUGACGGUACCGUUUGUAAGCUCCGGCUAACUCCGUGCCAGCAGCCGCGGUAAUACGGGGGGAGCAAGCGUUGUUCGGAUUUACUGGGCGUAAAGGGCGCGUAGGCGGCCGUGACAAGUCAGUUGUGAAAUCUCCUGGCUUAACCAGGAACGGUCAACUGAUACUGUCGGGCUAGAGUGCGGAAGGGGCAACUGGAAUUCUCGGUGUAGCGGUGAAAUGCGUAGAUAUCGAGAGGAACACCUGCGGCGAAGGCGGGUUGCUGGGCCGACACUGACGCUGAGGCGCGAAAGCUAGGGGAGCGAACGGGAUUAGAUACCCCGGUAGUCCUAGCCUUAAACGAUGGAUGCUUGGUGUCCGGAGUCCUUUAGUCUCCGGGUGCCGCCGCUAACGCAUUAAGCAUCCCGCCUGGGGAGUACGGUCGCAAGACUGAAACUCAAAGGAAUUGACGGGGACCCGCACAAGCGGUGUAGCAUGUGGUUUAAUUCGACGCAACGCG